AGGGGUAUAGCUCAGCUGGUAGAGCACUGGUCUCCAAAACCAGGUGUCGGGGGUUCGAGUCCCUCUGCCCCUG
rnacentral:tRNA from 1 species